CACACACUCCACACCAACUAGUCACUUCAUAUAUCAAACCGAACCGAUCAUUUUAGAAACCAAACUGGAUCACAUCUUCAAUUCGAUCCGAUUCAAUUUUUGCGGUCGGUUUUUGCCUGAGAAAGUCAAUCCGGGGAAGAAGUUUCAGAGAAAUUAUAAAGAAAAUGCAUCUCUUGACCUAAAUCAGUUUGCUAAUGUUCAAAUUAAUCUAAAAUUUACACUUAAUCCGAUCGAUCUUUCCAUUUGGAAUCAUUUUCCCGGGAAAAAUCUUUCUCUAAUCCUUGAAUGGGAAGAAACAAGCAAGAUUUUUGUCCAUUUUUGUUUCCCUCCGCCGUCUACGGCUCUCCAUCGUCUUCUCCGUCAUCAACAUCACCUCCGUCAUCGCCGCCGCCGCAAUCUUAUUCCGAUACUCAUUCUUCUUCUCAUCAUUAUUCUUCUUCGCUGAGUAUUACUUCUCCUUUCAAAUUAAAUCCGUCAACUACACAACUCUCUUCAACGGCAGACGCCGCAAAUCUUAAUCGGGAAUGCACCGAAGAAAUUACGGUUCAUGGAGCCAGCAAUACACUCAAAUAUGUGCAGGACCCCAAGGGAGGCGUGGAUGAUAAAGAAAAGGGAAAUUCGAGCAGUGUCGGCGAAAUGUUGCAGAUAAUUCAUUUAUCCCAUCAUGUUGGGACAACUCAAGCAAGGUUAGUUUGGUUGCCAACGGGGGAUGCAGAAAAUACACUUCCUCCUUCAAAGAAGAGAGCUGCUGAAAGGGAAAUUUCAAGAGACAACCCUGGGCUUGAUGAUGAUGAAGGUGUAGAGGAAGAGAUGGGAACUUUCAAGAGGGCCAGUGAUCAGGUGCUGGCAGGCAGAAGAAUUGUGAAAGUUCGUCGCAAGCAAACCUCAUCAACCCCAUCAUCCAAUCCAUUUGCUGGAAUUCGUUUGGUUCCUCCUACUGAAGCAACUACAGCCCCUGCUGUGGCAAGAACUGAAGCAGUCACUACUAUUGAGAAAGAGAAGAGGAAAAGUGAUGCUGGUAAAGAAACUGAAGAGGGUAAAGAUGAGACUGUGAACCAGUUAGAGAGAAAGACUGAGGAGCGGGUGGCUGAAAUAGCUGAACAUAUGGAGGUUGCUGAGGAUAAACAGAAAAUUGAUCAAGCUCUGAGGACUCCAGAGUAUUCACCGAAAGAUUCAAAUGAGUGAAAGAUAUGGAAUCUUGGCUCUCUUGACCCAAAUUUACUCUAGAUGCCCAUCAGAAAAGAGUAGAGUGUGCUGCUGACUACUUUACCAGUGGUGGUAAACCGUAUCUAGUCACUGGUUCUGAUGAUCAUACUGCUACGGUGUGGGAUUAUCAAACCAAAAGUUGUGUUCAGACACUUGAAGGCCAUACUCACAAUGCCUCUGCAGUAUGUUUCCAUCCAGAACUUCCAAUAAUAAUCGCUGGUUCUGAAGAUGGGACAGUACGCAUAUGGCAUUCAACAACUUACAGGUAGUUAUUAUGUUUUGAACUUGGGUCUUAUAUUAGGGUUUAUUUGCAUAUGGAGUUAUAGACUGGCAAAUCUGUUUUUCUUUUAGAAUAGGAUAUGUGAAUUUCAAUAAGAAAAAGAUAUGCAAAAUAGUUAAACUUAUUUAUAAAAAAUAUUUUAGACACUUGUUCUGUUUCAUAUGCUAGUCAGCUUGCUGCAUCAUUUAAUUCUAGUUGUAUGGGUACUGUACUGUUGAUCCACUGCAGGCUUGAUCCAGUUAUAGCUCUGAAUUUUAGUUCAAGUAUCAAUUUUCUCACUGAAUGAUUAGGUUGCAAUUUUUACAAGUACUCCCGUAAACCUUCUUUCGUGUGAUUAUUGUCUUAUGAAAAUUUAUUACGGGCUAAACAAAUCUUGAUACCUUCCGUUUUUAGACUUGGAGAUGUAUUGCACUGACUUACAGGCUUGAGAACACAUUGAAUUAUGGUCUUGAAAGAGUUUGGCGAUUGGAUACAUGAGAAGUUCACGCCGAGCUUAAAGCAUAAUCCCAAUGGGGGAUUUGCUGUUGUUUGUGGAGAUGGGGAGCACAUCAUAUAUACAGCUUUGGCUUGGAGAAAUAGAUC